GACGAACCGUGCGAACGUUGUUCGGAUUCACUGGGCUUAAAGGGCGCGUAGGCGGAGUGUCAAGUCAGGGGUGAAAUCGUUCGGCUCAACCGGACAAGAGCCUUUGAGACUGGCGCUCUUGAGGGAGGUAGGGGCAGGUGGAACUUCCGGUGGAGCGGUGAAAUGCGUAGAUAUCGGAAGGAACGCCGGUGGCGAAAGCGACCUGCUGGACCUCCACUGACGCUGAGGCGCGAAAGCCAGGGGAG
rnacentral:rRNA from 1 species